UACAGAGGGGGCAAGCGUUAUUCGGAAUUACUGGGCGUAAAGAGCGCGUAGGCGGAGAUCUAAGCGUGGCCUGAAAGCCCCCGGCUCAACCGGGGAGUGCGGCUGCGAACUGGGUUUCUUGAGGACGAUAGAGGAGAGUGGAAUUCCUGGUGUAGCGGUGAAAUGCGUAGAUAUCAGGAGGAACACCCGAGGCGAAGGCGGCUCUCUGGGUCGUACCUGACGCUGAGGCGCGAAAGCGUGGGGAGCGAACGGG
rnacentral:rRNA from 1 species